rnacentral:rRNA from 1 species
UUCUUCCCUAUUCACCUUUGAAGGUAGGGUAGUUGCCUACCUAUGGUUUUACCGGGAACGGGAAAAUUAGGUUUGGUUUCGGAAGGGGGACCUUGAGAAACGGUUCCCCCAUCCAAGGAAGGCAGCAGCCGCGCAAUUUCCCAAUCCUUACCAGGGGAGGGUAGGGCCAAUAAAUAACAUACAGGCUAUUUGGGUCUGGUAAUUGGAAUGAGUACAAUUUAAAUCCCUAA